UUAGAAAUAAUGCAAAACCACAUGUGUUAAACAUUUUAAGGCAGGUCAAAUUUGUUGUUGCUGUGGACGUGGUAACUUAUUUAAAGCACAACCUUUUUGGGAUAACACAAUAUAAUGGUUUUGCUGUCUCCAACGAGUAAAAUUAAAAAGACAACACACUGCAAAAACCCUAACCAUAAAUAACUAGAUAACAGAUGAACACCUCUUAGAAUUCUUUUAUUGUUUUUUUAUUUUAGCUGGGUAUUACGAGAAAUUCCCCUCUUACUGAACCAAUAUACAGUAUAAAGUUAUUGAGUCUAUGGAUAUAUUCAUAUGUACUGCAAUACCUUUUUAGAGGCUACCUUAAAUAUCCAUACAAAUCACAAACAGACAAACUACUAAGCAGAAUAAUUAAAUCGUUUUUUUUUUUUUUCAAUAAAUAUGCAUCAUGUUUCAUGAUUUGAAAACUAAAAAAAGUGUAGAGGACUUACAAGAUACAGACAGUUUACUUUAGGUAAAGGCAGUGUUGCUGUUUGACUUUAAAUACAAACUUUUUUUAACUUGACCAUUUUGAUAGUAAGCUCCCCACAUGAUGCUCGCACGCAUUCAAAGUGUCUGAACAAAGUCAGCAACGCUCAAGUUUGAUCUGUCCUGAAAUUACAUUGAUACACAGAACAAAGCAAAUGCAUUAUUUCAAGUUGCACUGUCUUUGCAUUUCGCUUUUGCUAAGCAGGAAACAAAGGACGUGAUAGCCGCUUUCAGCAUCACUUAAAUCAGUCAGCUGCAGAGAUUUGAAUGCUGUUCAUCUGGGCUUCUUCAACUUCAUGCGGCGCUCCAAGAACCGUCAGGCGGAUGACAUCAAAGCACCGCGAGAGCCAAAGGAGAAACCAUACAGAGGAGUCUGCUUAUCAAUCGAUCUCGCGUUACUUUAAUGUCAUCCGCCUGCGCUUCUUGCGGUGGCGGCACAGCAUUAAGUCGAACUCACCUUAAAACUUUAUCUAUUGCUAUCAGUAGUGGUUGUUGGAUUAGUGCACAUUGAUUUAGCAGUUAUGGAGGCCCCCCUCUAAGCUUGAGGCCCUAGGCAUUUGCCUACUCUGCCUAUAGCUAGCGCCGGCCCUGAGUGUGUUGCUAAUGUUGGGGCAUGUAAUAUGUAAUACAUGAACGUUUUAAUGAAUAGUCUAUCGAUUUAUAGUGGUUGUACCCAAUUGUUAUAAUAUGUCUUUUUGACUGAAUACAUGUUUGUUUUAUUUGUCUAUGUCCUAGAUUUGCAGCAGGACACACUCUUCUACACUGUAGGCAGCAGUAGACGUGAUGUAUAAUGCCAAACAUGCAACAUUAGUGGGCACACAGUACAAGGAGUCUGACUGGCAUAUGAGGAGCAAAGGAACCCAGGCAGUAGCGUCGUUUCACAAUGUUUCUAUCACCAUCAUCAGUGGAUGCCUUUGCCGUCCGUAGCCUGAGAUUUCAGAUUUGCAGCAAAAAAUUUGAUUUUCCAAUUUAUUGGAAUGCUGUGCAGGUUGUACCUUGCAGCCAUCCAUUACAAUGUCACCAAGCCAAAACAAAAGCAGGAGAGGGAAAGUACAAGGUUAAUUUCCCAAAAAACACAAGCGACAUACUUUAUGUGGAUGAUGUGAUCAGGCUUGUGUUUGAUGAGGUAUUUGAAGAUAAGCUGAAGGAAACCCCGAUUCCAAUGGACCUGGCAUCACAGUUCGAGAGACCUUCAAAGGAGGACGUGAUUGCAUGCCAUCUCACUCGCUUCAGUGUGGGGGUCGUCGGAAGCCAACAUACUGACCAGUCUGAUCAUGAAACUCCAAGCGUAUCUGGAGAACAGCACACGACAGGAUGAUAACAUCUUAAAUCCUAAUAAGUAAUAACAUAGCACUAAUAAGUAAGUAGUCUUUCAUAAUAAAGUUUACCAUAGUGAAAUAAUGUAGAACUAACAUUCAUUUCAACAAAUACUUUCUAUGUGCUACAUUUGGUGUUUCCAUAUAGUUUGCACAGUAAUAUUGUCAUGACUUCUGGGUGAUCGAUGGUUGUGUGUGGGAUAUGUGUUUGUUUAUUUACCUGUGGUGACGGUUCCUCAUGUGUUCACUAGCCCCGCCCGCUCGUUUCGGUAAUUGUUCACCGGUGGUGUUUUGUUUACAUUUCCCUUUAUAUUGCAUGCCGUCUUGUCUCUCGUUGCACGCUCAUUGUUUCGGUCACAGUCUGGCUGCCUUGCCUUGUCCUGUCGGACGUUUCUGUGCUUUCUCUCUUGUUUACCCCAGGUUUGGGUUUCGGCAUCCGGAGGCUCGUCUUCGUCCGGAGUUUACUCGCCUGUGGAUUUGUGAACUCUAUUCAGCCCUGACUGUUUCUCGGUGCAGCUGGUUCGCUUCGUUAUUAGGCGGUGCUUCCGGGUUUCAUCGGCAAUCACCUUCACCAGUGAAUGGAUCUCCAGGUUGUUGAACAUUGUGGAUUAUAUGAACUUGAACUCUGUUUGUUUCUCGGAACAGCUGGUUCGUUUCGUUAUUAGGCGGUACACCAGCUACUUCCGGGUUGCAUCGGAUACAUCUGCAUCCGCAGUGGAUUAUCUCCAGUCUUUGCCAAAUUUUGGAUUUAACAUCUUCCAUCUCCGCCUUUCACCCACCAUCAGUCGAGUGUGAUUCAUACCGUCUGUUGGGUGUGGUGAUUGCGCUGGUUGUCAUCGGCUGUGAGCGUGGGUGGCUCUCUCUUCGAGAUCAGAACUGGACUAUUUAUCUGCAGUACCGGCUCACUCUCUCCUACUGUUGUGUGUGCUUCAUACCGGCAGUAGUGAUUACAUCCAGAGUGAGUCGAGGGUGAUCGUCGUGUGUGGUUUCUUGAACAUUGACUUUUGCUCAACACUAUCUAUCCCAUUUUCUAAAUAAACAUUGUUAACUUGCUAUUGACUCCGAGACUUUGUGUGACAAAUAUAGUAUGUAAGCAGUCUUUUAUAAUAAAGUUUACCAAGGAUCUGUCUCUCUGUGAGCCUUCUCGUAAGCUGGCUCCGCAAUUCAUUGGGCCAUACAGUAUUUCUAAGGUCAUUAAUCCGGUGACGGUAAAGCUUAAGUUUCCCCUUUCUCUUGGUCGGGUUCACCUUGUUUUUCAUGUAUCCAAGGUUAAACCUGUGAUAUUUGCUCGUAAUAAUCCUCCCGUCUCUGCCCCUAAACCCCCCGCCCCUCGUCUAGUGGAUGGUGCCCCUGUCUAUACAGUUAAGAGGUUACUAGACUCUCACCGCAGGGGCAGAGGUUUUCAGUAUCUAGUGGAUUGGGAAGGAUACGGACGCAACACUCUCUCCUACUGUCGUGUGUGCUUCAUACCGGCAGUAAUUAUUACAUCCAGAGUGAGUCGAGGGUGAUCGUCGUG